rnacentral:rRNA from 1 species
GACGGAAGGUGCAAGCGUUGCUCGGAAUCACUGGGCGUAAAGGGUGCGUAGGCGGCCGUGCAAGUCUGGCGUGAAAGCCCCGGGCUCAGCCCGGGAAGUGCGCUCGAAACUGCGCGGCUCGAGUGCCGGAGGGGAGAGUGGAAUUCCUGGUGUAGCGGCGAAAUGCGCAGAUAUCAGGAAGAAUAUCCGUGGCGAAGGCGGCUCUCUGGUACGGCACUGACGCUGAGACGCGAAAGCGUGGGGAGCAAACAGG